rnacentral:lncRNA from 1 species
AUUCUAUAAAAUAACAACAAAGAUUCACAUAAGAUUCUUAGAUAACCAAAACAUAUUGUUUAUUUAUAACUCACAGUCUUAUAACAACUUUAAACAUACUAGUAUAUUACACAGUACUUAUCAUAAUACAAACUUUGAAUGCUUCUUUAUUGUACUAAUAUAAAGCAUCCAACCUCCUAUGCUACUCUCUAGAAUUCAUUGAUAUCAUCAAAGGAAUCC